rnacentral:misc_RNA from 1 species
GAUGAAGAACGUAGCGAAAUGCGAUAAGUAAUGUGAAUUGCAGAAUUCAGCGAAUCAUCGAAUUUUUGAACGCACAUUGCGCCUCAGAGUAUUCUUUGAGGCAUACCUGUUCGAGCGUCGUUUAGACCAUAAGGCUUUGCCUUGCGUUGAUUCCUUGGAGCAAUCCAAGAAUCUAAACUUGUUGGCGUCGUAGUUUGACCAAGACACAGCACAAUGUGAGACUAGUUAGAAAAUAACGACCGCCCAUCCUAAACUGUUUCUCACGAAAAGUAGGUUCGACCUCGGAUCAGGUAAGACUACCCGCUGAACUUAAGCAUAUCAAUAAGCGGAGGA